rnacentral:rRNA from 1 species
GACGAACGCUGGCGGCGUGCCUAAUACAUGCAAGUUGAGCGCUGAAGGUUGGUACUUGUACCAACUGGACGAGCAGCGAACGGGUGAGUAACGCGUGGGGAAUCUGCCUUUGAGCGGGGGACAACAUUUGGAAACGAAUGCUAAUACCGCAUAAAAACUUUAAACACAAGUUUUAGGUUUGAAAGAUGCAAUUGCAUCACUCAAAGAUGAUCCCGCGUUGUAUUAGCUAGUUGGUGAGGUAAAGGCUCACCAAGGCGAUGAUACAUAGCCGACCUGAGAGGGUGAUCGGCCACAUUGGGACUGAGACACGGCCCAAACUCCUACGGGAGGCAGCAGUAGGGAAUCUUCGGCAAUGGACGAAAGUCUGACCGAGCAACGCCGCGUGAGUGAAGAAGGUUUUCGGAUCGUAAAACUCUGUUGGUAGAGAAGAACGUUGGUGAGAGUGGAAAGCUCAUCAAGUGACGGUAACUACCCAGAAAGGGACGGCUAACUACGUG